UGACAGGAUUCAACGGCCGCGGUACCCUGACCGUGCGAAGGUAGCAUAAUCACUUGUUCUUUAAAUAAGGACUGGAAUCAACGGCAUCACGAGGGUUACACUGUCUCCUUUUUCCAAUCAGUGAAAUUGAUCUCCCCGUGAAGAAGCGGGGAUAAAUAUAUAAGACGAGAAGACCCCAUGGAGCUUCAAGCUCAACAUUUACCCCUUAUAACUAACUCUAUAUACUAAGGGAUCUACUUGUUAGCUUUGGGUUGGGGUGACCACGGAGAAAAAUCUAACCUCCAUAAUGAAAAGAAUAGUAUCCUUAUCCGAGAGCCACAUCUCUAAGAGUUAAUAUAUUAGCAUAAAAUGACCCGAUUUUUCGAUCAAUGAACCAAGUUACCCUGGGGAUAACAGCGCUAUCCACUUCAAGAGCUCAUAUCGACAAGUGGGUUUACGACCUCGAUGUUGGAUCAGGGUGUCCCAGUGGUGCAGCCGCUACUAAAGGUUUGUUUGUUCAACAAUUAAAACCCU
rnacentral:rRNA from 1 species